GACAGAGGGUGCAAACGUUGUUCGGAAUGACUGGGCGUAAAGCGCGUGUAGGCGGCCUCGCAAGUCGGGUGUGAAAGCCCUGGGCUCAACCCAGGAAGUGCACUCGAAACUGCAAGGCUUGAGUUCCGGAGAGGAAAGCGGAAUUCUCGGUGUAGAGGUGAAAUUCGUAGAUAUCGAGAGGAACACCGGUGGCGAAGGCGGCUUUCUGGACGGCGACUGACGCUGAGACGCGAAAGCGUGGGGAGCAAACAGG
rnacentral:rRNA from 2 species